GUGCAUGGGCGAUAGUCACGCUCCGUGUCGUGAGAUGUUGGGCUAAGGUCUCGCAACGAGCGCAACCCCUAUCCUCAGUUGCCAUCAUUAAGUUGGCACUCUGUGGAGACUGCCGGUGUUAAACCGGGAGGAAGGUGGGGAUGACGUCAAGUCCUCAUGGCCCUUAUGACCAGGGCUACACACGUGCUACAAUGGCCGGUACAAAGAGUUGCGAGACCGCGAGGUGGAGCCAAUCUCAGAAAGCCGGUCUCAGUUCGGAUUAGAGUCUGCAACUCGACUCUAUGAAGUUGGAAUCGCUAGUAAUCGCGGAUCAGCACGCCGCGGUGAAUACGUUCCCGGGCCUUGUACACACCGCCCGUCACACCACGGGAGUCGAUUGGUCCCGAAGUGCGUGAGCUAACCCCUUGUGGGAGGCAGCGUCCUAA
rnacentral:rRNA from 1 species